rnacentral:lncRNA from 1 species
AGGGAUCUGACACUUUCUUCUGCCCCUUACGGAUACUAAGCAUACAUGUUGUAUGCAAACAUAAAUGCAGGUAGUAUACACAUAUACAUAAAUUAAAAGUAAGUAAAUAUUUUUACAAAGUAAAGAAAAAAAUGACAUACCACUUUUUGAGACUCUUGCAAGGCAACUCUAAGAAUGGAGCAAACUGGAAAGAAAAAUGAGACAAUAACCAUUACUCAUAGUUCUCUACAUACUCACUUAUGAAUCUCUUGCUUUUUAUGAAAUGCUGGUGAAACAAUUGCUACAUGCCACCUCCUCCUGAAGUCACUUGGAUUAGAAGACACAAUUAAUGAGAAAUGGGAUUAGUUUUAUGUCUGAUUUUCUAACAUUUAUAUGUGUUAAUUCUUCAUUAUUCAUUUAUUUCAAUCAUUCCAAGUUAUUAUAUUCAGAUAAUAGAAAAGAGGGUGUAGCAUAUCAAAGACAGCAAUAUUUAAAAUAUACCUUCUCAUUUUAUUCAUCACUGUGCUGAUUUUUAUCUCUAUCAAUAAUGUUCAGAUAUAAAUUUGGAGUACUUCAGUUUUUAAAUUUACAUAAAUUUAGAUUUAUGAAAUCUUCCCUUUGAAUCCAGGGAACAGGUUUUUAUCAUGGCCUUUUAUUAUGUGCAGAUUAUAAAAUAGACUGUAUAUUUGUAUUUUACAGGAGAUUUGUAAGAAAUAUAUAAUUUUUUGUACCUAGAAAGUUAAUAUUCUCUUAUAGGAGCAAUGAUAAAAUUUAGAGUCUAGAAGAACCAUACAGCUAACGAAUACAAAUUGAACAUUAUAAAGACAUGCUUGUUUGAUCCUCUGAGCAAGUUGAAAUUAUUUCUUUUCAUUAUAAGUUAUUUCUUUAUAGGAAUAUUUCUUCCUUUAAUGUUACUUGCUUAAAUUUCUAUUUGUAAUAUAUCAUUCAAUUCAAACCUUUUCAAAUUGGAUUUUUCUUUUCAGUACACAGAAUAUUAUAAUAUGGUAGUUUUGUCAUUUUGUCUUGUGAGUCCAUUAUAAUACUUUGAUUUCUUUAAGACAGAGUCUCAAGAAGUAUUUAAUUUAGACACUGUUAUUAAGAAUGAAAAUUUAAAAAAAUAUUUAUGAAAGUUGAAUAGGUUUAUUCAGGUACCAGAGAAGUGAGAAACAUAACCCUGAAGAGAUGUGUGAGAUGAUGUGAAAACCACAGUGAAAUGUACAUUUGAUUUGAAUUUAAGUAGUUUCAAACCUUUAGCCCAACAACAAAGAGAUUUUAAUUUAGUAACUUAAAGGGGCUACCUUACAUUUUGUCAUAAUCUUGCUAAGAUGGUUUUAUCAAACGACUGACUGCAUUUUUACAUAUUUCUUCUUAAAAUAAUGCCCAAUGUGUUAAAUAUGCUGUUUAUCCAGAUGAUAAAAGUUGAAAAACUGAAGCAAAUAAUCAGGAUGGCAAUAUUUAGAUCAGAUAGAAUUGUAUAGGCCUGACUGAAGUAGCUAACAUUUUUGUGAAUUUAAAGGGAGAUAACAGCCACAACAACAACACAAAGAACUGUGACAACCCAAAUGUGUUUGUGUUACUAAGAUAAUUGUAGAUCAGAUAGUUUUGAGAUUCAAUGAAAGGAAUAGACAGGCCCUUAGUUUUCCCUCAUGCAGGGGAACAGAGAGUACAACAGUGCCAUUGAUAAGCAACUAAGUUUAGACUUCUGUUAAAUUGUACAAAUCAGCAUAGAAGUCAAUCUAAAUAAAGUGGCAUAUGUGGAAAGAACAAGUCUCUGUAAAGGUAUACUGGAUGAGUCUACACCAUAAAUUGAAAACCUUAUUUGAAAUAAAGUAACAUUUCCAUAACAUUGUAAAUACUGCCAGAUUUCACAAUGGGAUAAUGGAUUCUUUUGUUUUCAAUCAAUAUAUCAGCAAGUCUGAAGCUCUCUUGGUUUCUGUUGUAUCUGUUGACUGCAUUGUAAUCAUUUUUUCAGGGGGAGAGAGGUCUAAAGAUUUUUAAUACUGACAGGCCCACAAAAGAGCUUCUCCUCCUUCCCACUUGGUUGUCUCUCUUUGUAACAAAGAUGACAUCCAAAUGAGUCAUGCAAAUGACCCCAUGCCACUCAAGAAACCAAUUAUUUGACAAUAGGAAGGUUUUGCUUUUG